UUUCCAAUGAUGGCGAAGAUUUUGGGUUUUUAAACACAACGAUAACCACUGAUGAUUAUGAUGACUAUGACGGCAAUGAAUUUCUCGAUUCUGGCAUACAAAAGGACUUUAUGGAUGGAAAUAUUGUUCAGAAAUUAGAAAAAAGACAACAAUUUUCAAAAUUUCCAACUGGUCUGUAUCAUCAUAAAUCGAACAACAACGUCAAACAAUCAAGCUCAAUAAUCAAAUACUCGGAAAAUCGUCAUCAUGAUGUUGAUGUUGUUGACAAUCCAAUUGUAUUGGAAUCGAAACGUAAUAGGAAAUGUUUCCAAGGAAAUGCUGAUGAUCAUGAUGAUGAUAAAAUGACAUCUACUACUAUAGCAUCAACAACAAAUGAAAGCAAUGAAGAAUUCCAAAACAAUAUUAACGAAUCUAAACGAUUGAAAUCGAUUUCAAAUAGUGACACUGUUGAUGAUGAAACGAAGAAAAAAAAAAAGUUUCACAUUGAAACUAUUAUUCAGUGGAUUGACAAAAAAGUUUUCGUCGAAUAUGUCGCAUAUUAAUUCAUUGUUGAAUUUUCAUAGCCAAGGCCAUCGUCGGUCAUUGAAUCCAAAUCAAAAAGAAUCAUCGAGUUGUACAAAUUCACCAUGCAAAACUGAGAUGUAUCAGCUGAAACAACAACAGCACACACGAAGCUAUGAUCAAAUCAAUAUUUAUGGCCAUUUCAAUAUCGAAGAUUAUCAUUGUCGCAAGUCACUUUUUUCUGAUCACCAAAAACAUUUGGUAAAUGAUUCUAUGAUCAUGUGUCGAGGAAAAAAGAAAUCUAGACCAUCAAUAGACAAUUUUUGGCGAAAAUAUUCUGAAAAUGAAAGAAUUUAUGAUGAACCGACAACAAAUGUCUGUAAUUCUAGUAGUAAUAAUUCAUCUUCGAAUUCAUGUUCUUCAGUAUCAACAUCCAGCUCUAACGAAAACCAUACAAGUUCAUCGACAUUAAUCAUUACAAGUUAUGAUUGUUAUGAUGAUUGUAUUCAAGCGGCCAUCCAUAUCCUGAAGAAGAAGGGAAUAAAUUUUAAAGAACAACCGAGCAGGAGAAAUGGCACCCGACAGCUUCGUUGUUGUGUAUCAAUAUCCAAUAGGAUUAUACUUGCAUUUCGGAUGGAUUUUUUUCAAACUGAUCCAAGAAUGUUUAUAUUGAUACGAAUGAAAAAAAUUCGUGGCCAAAUGAAUGAUUUUAAA